rnacentral:rRNA from 1 species
CCUACGGGAGGCAGCAGUGGGGAAUAUUGCACAAUAGGGGAAACCCUGAUGCAGCGACGCCGCGUGAGCGAUGAAGUAUUUCGGUAUGUAAAGCUCUAUCAGCAGGGAAGAAAAUGACGGUACCUGACUAAGAAGCCCCGGCUAACUACGUGCCAGCAGCCGCGGUAAUACGUAGGGGGCAAGCGUUAUCCGGAGUUACUGGGUGUAAAGGGAGCGUAGACGGCUGUGCAAGCCAGAUGUGAAAGCCCGGGGCUCAACCCCGGGACUGCAUUUGGAACUGUGUGGCUGGAGUGUCGGAGAGGCAGGCGGAAUUCCUAGUGUAGCGGUGAAAUGCGUAGAUAUUAGGAGGAACACCAGUGGCGAAGGCGGCUUACCAGACUGCGACUGACGCUGAAGCACGAGAGCGUGGGUAGCGAACAGGAUUAGAUACCCGAGUAGUC